rnacentral:rRNA from 1 species
CAAUAGCGUAUAUUAAAGUUGUUGCAGUUAAAAAGCUCGUAGUUGGAUUUCUGGUGGGAGCGAUCGGUCUGGCGCUUAGCGCGAGUACUUGCAUCGUCUCCGGCCAUCCUUGGGGAGAGUCUGUCUGGCAUUAGGUUGUCGGGCAGAGGAUCCUCAUCGUUUACUGUGAAAAAAUUAGAGUGUUCAAAGCAGGCUUAUGCCGUUGAAUAUAUUAGCAUGGAAUAAUAAGAUAGGACUUUGGUACUAUUUUGUUGGUUUGCGCACCAAAGUAAUGAUUAAUAGGGACAGUUGGGGGUAUUCGUAUUCCGUUGUCAGAGGUGAAAUUCUUGGAUUUACGGAAGACGAACUACUGCGAAAGCAUUUUCCAAGGAUGUUUUCAUUA